rnacentral:rRNA from 1 species
GACGAACGCUGGCGGCGUGCUUAACACAUGCAAGUCGAACGGAAAGGCCCUGCUUGCAGGGUACUCGAGUGGCGAACGGGUGAGUAACACGUGGGUGAUCUGCCCUGCACUUCGGGAUAAGCCUGGGAAACUGGGUCUAAUACCGGAUAGGAGCCAUUUUUAGUGUGAUGGUUGGAAAGUUUUUUCGGUGUAGGAUGAGCUCGCGGCCUAUCAGCUUGUUGGUGGGGUAAUGGCCUACCAAGGCGGCGACGGGUAGCCGGCCUGAGAGGGUGGACGGCCACAGUGGGACUGAGAUACGGCCCAGACUCCUACUGGAGGCAGCAGUGGGGAAUAUUGCACAAUGGGCGCAAGCCUGAUGCAGCGACGCCGCGUGGGGGAUGACGGCCUUCGGGUUGGAGUCUCCUUUCGCUAGUGACGAAGCUUUUUGUGACGGUACCUAGAUAAGAAGCACCGGCUAACUACGUG